UAGGGUGUAAAAAUUUUAAUGUAUAAAGGAAAAUAAAACAAGCCUGACAAAAUUGGUUUCUCUAAUUUUGGACACUCCUAGAAAUUUCUUUGAUUAAAAUGGUGUAAUUCGGAUUUAAACUAAUUUCUUUCUAAAGGAAAUCUAAUUUUUCCCGAAAAACACCCGGAAAAACUUUUCUUACUCAGCUCGACGCUACCCUCUCUCACGCGCACUGGGCCCCACGGCGCGGACCCACCUAUUCCUAUUCCUUUCUACCCGCCGGCCUUAUUCUCCCUCUGACGGGCCCUGUGGGCCGCUUUCUUUUUCUUUUUCUUUUCUCCGGUCCGAUACCGGCCCACGGCCCUCUUCUUCUUUUUCCGUUUUCCGCGGGCGCGGCCUACUCCUUACUGGGCCUCCAGCCCCUUUCUCUUUUCCGGUCGACCGCGUCGGCUCCGUGGGCCUCCAACAUGCCGGCCCAUAGACGCCCGCGCCUCGGCCUCUUUCUCCCCCUCCCCUCCUUUCUCUCUCUGUCGCGCGGGCCCGAGCAUCCAGGCGCUUCUUCCUCCUCCCGCCAAAACGCGCGCGCGACAGGGGGCGGCGUGACUCGCCGGCCGGCGCCCCACCGGCGGCGAAGCUAGGUUAGGACAGCACCUCUACACCUUCACGCACCCGUGUGCGGCAACAGCUCCUCGGGAGAUGGCCGGAGCCAUUCCCUCCACGGCGGCGGGCGGCGACACCUUCGGCCGGUCGUGACUACUCACGACGACGGCACAAACUACUCGAACAACUACUCUCACACCAUCCUGGCAUCCUAGGGACUCGCCUACGACUACCUAAGAAGGAAGGGAACCGGUGCAAGAUAGUGCUCACUGUGAGCAGGAGGCGCGGCGACGGCGGACAGAAGCGGCGGCGGUUCAAGGCGUGCUGGCGGAGAAAUUGGGCAACAAGCUGCUAGGGUUGCUGGUGGGGUGUGGGCGGAGGUGUGGACGGAAGGAAUCGGCGGGAGCUGCUGUGUGGUGGUGGAAUUUUUGCUCGGCGGCGGUGCUUGACAGAGGAGCGGCGGCGGUAAAAAG
rnacentral:lncRNA from 1 species